CUACGGGUGGCAGCAGUGGGGAAUAUUGCACAAUGGGCGCAAGCCUGAUGCAGCCAUGCCGCGUGUAUGAAGAAGGCCUUCGGGUUGUAAAGUACUUUCAGCGGGGAGGAAGGGAGUAAAGUUAAUACCUUUGCUCAUUGACGUUACCCGCAGAAGAAGCACCGGCUAACUCCGUGCCAGCAGCCGCGGUAAUACGGAGGGUGCAAGCGGUAAUCGGAAUUACUGGGCGUAAAGCGCACGCAGGCGGUUUGUUAAGUCAGAUGUGAAAUCCCCGGGCUCAACCUGGGAACUGCAUCUGAUACUGGCAAGCUUGAGUCUCGUAGAGGGGGGUAGAAUUCCAGGUGUAGCGGUGUAAUGCGUAGAGAUCUGGAGGAAUACCGGUGGCGAAGGCGGCCCCCUGGACGAAGACUGACGCUCAGGUGCGAAAGCGUGGGGAGCAAACAGGAUUAGAUACCCUAUAGUC
rnacentral:rRNA from 1 species